rnacentral:lncRNA from 1 species
AUCAAAUUCUUAUGAUGAAGGUCCAAAAGUGAGCUCUAUAAUUUUCUGCGCAUUUUUCAUGUCUUCAAUUUUUAUUUUAGCAUUUACUGUUAUUUUGAACUGUUUAUAGUUGUUUUGAAAUAUUUCAUUUUUUUACAGAAUGAUAAACUUGAGGCUCUUCCUUAGAAGAAUCAUUGGAUUGAGUAAAUUUUUUUAUUUAUUUUUCAUUGUGGUUGUAUAUUGUUAUUGAUUGAGUAAAGUUUUUUUUACAUUGUAU